AGAUGGAGGAAGAUAUAGAGAGAGAUAUAGAGGGAGGUAUAGAGAGAGAGGGAGAGAUAGAGAUACAGAGGGAUAUAGAGGGGAUAUAGAGAGAUAGAGGGAGAGAUGGAGGGAGAGAUGGAGGGAGAGAUGGAGAUGGAGGGAGAGAUAGAGGGAGAGAUAGAGAUGGAGAGAUAGAGAUAGGGGGAGAUACAGAGGGAGGUAUAGAGAGAGAGAUGGGGGAGAUACAGAGAUAGAUAUAGAGAGAGAGAGAGGGAGAGAUGGAGAGAGAUAUAGAGGGAGAUAUAGAGAUAGUGGGAGAUAGAGAUAGAGAGAGAUAUAGGGAGAUAAUAGAGGGAUAUAGAGGGGAUAUAGAGAGAUGGAGGGAGAGAGAGAGAGAUAUAGGGGGAGAUAUAGAGGGAGAUAGAGAUAUAGGGAUAGAGGGAGAGAUGGAGGGGGAUAUAGAAGGAGAGAGAG
ensembl:lncRNA